rnacentral:rRNA from 1 species
AGCAGCCGCGGUAAUUCCAGCUCCAAUAGCGUAUAUUAAAGUUGUUGCAGUUAAAAAGCUCGUAGUUGAAUUUCGGGAUCAAAUUGUCGGUCGUGCCUCGGUACGCACUGGUAUUAUUGGUUCCUACCUUCUGAAGAACCGCGAUGUCAUUAAUUUGGUGUCGUGGGGAAUCAGGACUGUUACUUUGAAAAAAUUAGAGUGUUUAAAGCAGGCUUACGCUUGAAUACAUUAGCAUGGAAUAAUGAAAUAGGACGUUUGAUUCUAUUUUGUUGGUUUCUAGGAUCGACGUAAUGAUUAAUAGGGAUAGUUGGGGGCAUUAGUAUUCAAUUGUCAGAGGUGAAAUUCUUGGAUUUAUUGAAGACUAACUACUGCGAAAGCAUUUGCCAAGGAUGUUUUCAUUAAUCAAGAACGAAAGUUAGGGGAUCGAAGACGAUCAGAUACCGUCGUAGUCUUAACCAUAAACUAUGCCGA